UGAGGAAUAUUGGUCAAUGGACGCAAGUCUGAACCAGCCAUGCCGCGUGCAGGAUGACGGCUCUAUGAGUUGUAAGCUGCUUUUGCAGAAGGGUAAACCCAGGUACGUGUACCUGGCUGAAAGUACUCUGCGAAUAAGGAUCGGCUAACUCCGUGCCAGCAGCCGCGGUAAUACGGAGGAUCCAAGCGUUAUCCGGAUUUAUUGGGUUUAAAGGGUGCGUAGGCGGCUUGAUAAGUUGGAGGUGAAAGCCCGUGGCUCAACCACGGAACUGCCUCCAAUACUGUUGAGCUAGAGAGUAGUUGCUGUGGGCGGAAUGUGUGGUGUAGCGGUGAAAUGCUUAGAGAUCACACAGAACACCGAUUGCGAAAGCAGCUCACAAAGCUAUAUCUGACGCUGAGGCACGAAAGCGUGGGGAGCAAACA
rnacentral:rRNA from 1 species